ACCAGACUCCUACGGGAGGCAGCAGUGGGGGAUACUGCACAAUGGGGGGAACCCUGAUGCAGCGACGCCGCGUGGGUGAAGGAGCGUUUCGGCGCGUAAAGCCCUAUCGGCAGGGAAGAAGGAGGACGGUACCUGACUAAGAAGCCCCGGCUAACUACGUGCCAGCAGCCGCGGUAAUACGUAGGGGGCAAGCGUUAUCCGGGUUUACUGGGUGUAAAGGGGGCGCAGACGGCAGCGCAAGCCAGGAGUGAAAGCCCGGGGCCCAACCCCGGGACUGCUCUUGGAACUGCGAGGCUGGAGUGUCGGAGAGGCAGGCGGAAUUCCUAGUGUAGCGGUGAAAUGCGUAGAUAUUAGGAGGAACACCAGUGGCGAAGGCGGCCUGCUGGACGAUGACUGACGCUGAGGCUCGAAAGCGUGGGGAGCAAACAGGAUUAGAUACCCCUGUAC
rnacentral:rRNA from 1 species